rnacentral:rRNA from 1 species
UACAGAGGUCUCAAGCGUUGUUCGGAAUUAUUGGGCGUAAAGGGAGUGUAGGCGGCUUGUUAAGUCUUCUGUGAAAUCUACGGGCUUAGCCUGUAAAGUGCAGAGGAAACUGGCGAGCUUGAGUGUCGGAGAGGAUAGGGGAAUACCCGGUGUAGAGGUGAAAUUCGUAGAGAUCGGGUGGAACACCAGUGGCGAAGGCGCCUGUCUGGCUGACAACUGACGCUGAGACUCGAAAGCAUGGGGAGCAAACAGG